rnacentral:lncRNA from 1 species
AUGGGCAGGGUAGGGGCCCGGCUGAUGGAAAUGAUGAAAUCGGGGCCCCCGGCCAGCAGGGCUUGGGCUCUUCCUUUUAAGACAACAACCCUCAGCUUUGUCUGCAGCCCAGGCCCUUCUUGGAAAUCACCCCGCCCUGCCCCAUCCCCCACGGGGGAGGUGUUGGACGUGACCCCUCUCCUGGGAGGGUACGGCCUGUCCGUUCCGUCAGGCUCGGCUGCUCUCAGGACCGCCAGCCCCGCCCACCGGGCUGGUGGCCGCGGGCCUCCACCGCCUGCCUCCCGGGAGCCGUCCGGCCUUCAGGCCCCGAGGCCCUUCUCCGGCCUCGUGGGAGCCUCGGGCCGGGCGAUGCCCCUGGACAGUCACUCUGGCCGUCCAGGGUGUCAGGCAUGGGCAAACCUGCCAGGAGCCACGGGCAGGAGUCUGGAACCCCUUUCCCUGCGCCCCUGGGCCGAGCCGCUCUUCAGACCCCGUGAGCUGUGUCCUCCGGGGUCCCCGCGGGCCAGCUAUGCUGAAGAUGUGAGAAUCAGGACCCGUAACUCUGUAACCAUCCGAUGACCUUGAGGGGAGUGUCUGCCUUGGCACGAAGCCACAUGAGAAGUGGAACUGAGAGGAGAGAAAAAGCAGAGCCUGGAUCCUGGAUCCUGGAUCAUGCCACGCCUGAAGCUGUACUCUGUUCCCAGUGAAUUAAGUCAAUAAUCAGCUGGGUUGGGUGUCCUGUGGUUACCCGCAACUUAGAUUGUUGCACAGAGGCCGUGUGCAGCCGGACCCCGACAGGAAAUAUAGAUUCACAAGGAGCACUCAGCCCAGGGGCGGGCGUUAUGCACCUACUGUUUACAGAGCGCCCAUGAUGUGCUGGGCACUGUCCCCUUUAUGUGCACACCGGGCCCCCACUUUACGCGUGGGGACCUGAGGGUGAGGCCUGUGAAAUGGCGGCUGGGGCUUGGCCCCUGCUUUGUCUCACCCAGAGCCUGUGUGGUUCCCCCUCCCCAGGCGGCCCGACCCCAGCGGCGGCCCAGAGCCCGGCCUCACUGGACAUCUGGAACCGGGAGCAUCUGGCUGCAGGCGGGAGGCCCGGGCAUGGCUGGCACCCGGAGCUCGCGGGGGGCACACGGUGUAACCGUGAGCCAGCUCCGUGACGCAGCCGGCUCCCGAUCCCGCGUGCUCAGGCUCUGACGCGUCCUGCCUGCCAUGUGACUGUCAGAGCCCCGUCUCUCCUCCUUCGCACGGGCACACCUGGCCUCCGCACUCUUGUGCACUGUGCCUCUCGGAGGCUGCCAGGGCACCAGCCGACCAGCCGGCAGAGACCGGGGCCCCGGGCACUGAGUGCCCCCCUCCUUGAGGGCAGCUGCGCCCCACGCCUCCCACCCUCCUGGACGACGGUCUCUGCCCUCCGCCUACCUGUCCCGCCUUUGGCUUUCAUCCACCCUCCGACCCGCCCUGCCCCUGCCCCAGGUCCUGGCUGGCACCUCCUCGUUCCCAGGACGCCUCACAGCGGGGACUUCCUCCUCCGUCCCUCUGGGGUUCCGACUGCACACCCCAUCGCUGGCAUCUCCGG